UUAAGUACAGGCAGAGAGAGUUCACAUCUCCCGGGCAGUAACUGCAUAAAGCGUCCUGCACUCUUUCCUCAGGAUGUAGUUAGUGCAUCCUAAUCUUGAGAAAGACCAACUCCCUGAACUUUAAGCCUAGAAAUAAUUAGACAAGAAAAUCCUUCUGUGGAUUUCAUGUAACUGUCAAAAAUGAUGAGUAGUGGAAAAAUUGCUUCAAGUCAGAUUCCUUACUGUCCCUGAACCUUUGCACUGUAUUGUUUAUAGAAAGAAUCUAACGUUCUGCAGCAUGAUAAGGUGAAUCACUGAUGAAACUUCUAAGCCUGGGGAACAGCAUCGAUUGUGGAACAGAGGAUGAGACUUGUCCAGUUCUCCAGAAUCAGGAGACAGAGUUGGCCAGGCCACACAUCUCACACCUGUCCUCGCGCUUGGUGAGGCCGUGACUCUGUGCUCCCUUCAUUACCCUGUGCUGCUCGUGCCCAUUCCUACUGACCGGGUGCAGGGCAUUGUUCGCCAGGCUUGUGACACCCAAGGCCCCUCCAUGAAAGGACGCACCAGUGCUGUUCCAUAGAAACUUUGUAAAACUAACUUUCAUUCUUAAGAAGAAGGGAAAGCACAUGUUUCCUUACUGGGACUGCUGAAGUGCAGGAUGAAUUCCUUGUAGCCAUCUUUGAAACUGACUCCAAGUCUUUAAAGAAGAGGGUGUGGACUGUAAGUAUGUGUGGGAAUCAACAGAUUCAACUCCCUUGAACAUGCAUUGAAAGAACAAAUGAACAGAGGUUGGAAGGACUCUUACAGGACCUACAAUAUCACCAGCCCAAUGUUUCCCAAAACUAAAGUGUUUAUGGUAAAUGUUCUAAUUCUACAAACUCUGUGGAGCCUUUAUGAGAUAACAAGACUCAGUCGUGAAGUGGUAGGCAUUUAAACAAGAAAAGAUUUGGACAGUAACUUAAGAAAUUGGAUCAGCACUUUCCAAUGGAUAAGAACACCAAGAUCUUAAAAAUAGGGGACACAGGAGGUCCAAAUCAGGGUGUGUCUAAGUAGGAACCAUGCAGGUCAUCUCUGUAGAUGUAGUGAAUCAAAAAUGAGGCGCUAAGGGGUCAGGACGGUGCAGGGUCAGACCUUUGUCUCUUAGCAGCUGAUAGAUUGGGUGCCUGCCAGCCAGCUUGGUCACUCGGGAACAGAAUGUAGGGUGGAAAGUUCAGCCACUGGUAGCUUAGAAGUCUAAGGUCAGAGCAGAGUAACUAAUUUUAUCAAGGUUAUUGGACCUAGUUCAAAAUGAAGCCCAAUACCCUAUCUCCUCCCUUGGAAAAAGCAGAAAAUCUAUUUCCUCAAGUUACUUUAAUGUUGAAUACUUCAAAUAUGCAUUUCUAUCUUUAGUGAAGUUAAUUUUUCAUACACUUAACCAAAAGCUAUUGAAAAAUCCAGAUAUUAGCUGAUAUUCAGAGAAAUUUUAUAUACAUGACAAAGUAUAAAAUCAUUGGAUUUCCCCUUGAACAUAAAAACAAAUAACAUUACUAACAUCAGUUCAGAGACUCAUAAAAAGAAGAGUAAUUGCAAAUUUUAACAGCUGAGAAUGAACUACAUGGAGCAUGGAUUCAUUUAGCAGCCUCUGCAGAGAGACACAAUGAAUCAUGAGCAUGUCUCUAUCAAACUCUGAAUAAUAUGUCAGUUUCUAAAAUUGAUCUUGAAUGUAUUCAAGUAGAGUCAUCUCAAGAUACUUCUGAUAUGAAUCUUGUCCUGAGCAAUAGGACUUUUGUGGGGAUGUUUCAACCAGGGGAGUGAGAAACCCUCUGUUCUUUGCAACAGUGACAGUACACAGCAUAGACCACCCUGUUUCACAUAAAGCUGUAAUUACUGGGUGGGCCAAGGAAAUGCUGGUGGAGGAGAGCGUGGAUAAUGGUGAGACUGUGUGGGUCCUUCUGCUGAACAGCUCCUUGAACUUUAUCAGUAUUUUGCCCUUUUUAAGUUUCCUUGGAGGACACAGUACUGGCAGAAUAUUGGCUAUUAUUAAAGCCACAUGGCAGGUAAAAGUCAUUUAUGGUAUUAUUUUUAUUUUUGCUUAAAAUUUUCUAUUAUAAAAUUCAAAACGUUUAUUCAGAGCAGUUCUCAUGAGAUUUUUUUCAGUAAAAAGAACAUUCUCAUUGGCCUUCUCAAUUGAAAACCAAUUAAAUGAAGAGAAAUAGACAUAAACAUUAUUACAUAUACCCAUUAUUAUCUCAAGUUUUAUAAAUUUAUACACAGUUAUUAUUAUGGUUUAUAUCAGAUGGCCCCUCAAGUCUUAUACAAUCAUGGAUGAAGCUGAACCUAUCAUUUAUGAUUGGUUCAUUGUCUAGCAAUGGGAUUGGUGGUGUGAGUGCUACACCCGCCCAGGGGUGGAGCCAGCAUACAGUGUAAGGCAGGAAGAAACCAUAUCUCCCUUGCCUGCCUGGUUCAUGCUUUGCUGUUUGGGGUGGCCAUGAAUGGCUGCCUCCUGCCCAUGCCAUCUUGCCUUGCAGCCAGCUGAGUAUGGACAAAAGCCCCAAGAACUGUAAGAAAUAAACCUUCCCUAACCUAAUUUUUGGCGUCAGGUAUUCUCUCUCAGAAUUAAGAGAAAAGUAACUAAGACACCUAUUAUUUAUAUUUCUAGUUUUUAAGAUAAGUUAAACAAAUGUGUAUCUUCUCUAAAGAGACUAUUUUUUUUCCUACCCAUGCUUAUACACUGAAAAAUUCCAUUAGGAUAUGGAAAAUAGGCACUGAAAAGCCCACUUUCCAUCUAUGGAACGGACUUAGGAAAUGACUCUUAAUUGAAUUCACCCUCCCAAAAAUGCACUUGCUUUUUAUGAUACUGGCUGUAUUUCAUGUGGAAGAACUCCAGUGAGCAUUGAUUCUAGCUUAAUGGUGUGCUCUGUGAUACACAGAGCUGCAAAAUUUCCUGGGAACUCAGAUUCAAGAAGGAAUAGUGCUUGGUUUAGCUACAUAUGCAUCAUUUUCAUUUUAAUUAUUAGCUCUAGCUUGCGAGUUAAAACUAUAAUCUAUGCUCUCUGGUUAAAUAUUUUUAAAUAUCUGUUUGAAAAUUG